AGUGAACGCUGGCGGUAGGCCUAACACAUGCAAGUCGAACGGCAGCACAGGAGAGCUUGCUCUCUGGGUGGCGUGUGGCGGACGGGUGAGGAAUACAUCGGAAUCUACUCUGUCGUGGGGGAUAACGUAGGGAAACUUACGCUAACACCGCAUACGACCUACGGGUGAAAGCAGGGGACCUUCGGGCCUUGCGCGAUUGAAUGAGCCGAUGUCGGAUUAGCUAGUUGGCGGGGUAAAGGCCCACCAAGGCGACGAUCCGUAGCUGGUCUGAGAGGAUGAUCAGCCACACUGGAACUGAGACACGGUCCAGACUCCUACGGGAGGCAGCAGUGGGGAAUAUUGGACAAUGGGCGCAAGCCUGAUCCAGCCAUACCGCGUGGGUGAAGAAGGCCUUCGGGUUGUAAAGCCCUUUUGUUGGGAAAGAAAUCCAGCUGGCUAAUACCCGGUUGGGAUGACGGUACCCAAAGAAUAAGCACCGGCUAACUUCGUGCCAGCCGCCGCGGUAA
rnacentral:rRNA from 1 species